AACGAACGCUGGCGGCGUGCCUCAUACAUGCAAGUCGAACGAGAAAGCCCGGCUUCGGUUGGGUUAGUAAAGUGGCGCACGGGUGCGUAACACGUGAGGAACAUGCCCCUAUGUUGGGGAUAAGCCUGCGAAAGCGGGUCUAAUACCGGAUGUUGUCAUUGGACAGCAUGGCCCGACGAUUAAAGGCGGUUGAGUCUAUGCCGCCGCAUAGGGAUUGUCUCGCGGCCCAUUAGCUUGUUGGCGGUGUAAUGGACCACCAAGGCUCCGAUGGGUAGCCGACCUGAGAGGGUGACCGGCCACACUGGGACUGAGACACGGCCCAGACUCCUACGGGAGGCAGCAGUGGGAAUAUUGCACAAUGGGCGCAAGCCUGAUGCAGCAACGCCGCGUGAGGGACGACGGCCUUCGGGUUGUAAACCUCUUUUAGCAGGGAAGAAGCGAAAGUGACGGUACCUGCAGAAAAAGCACCGGCUAACUACGUGCCAGCAGCCGCCGUAACAC
rnacentral:rRNA from 1 species